rnacentral:rRNA from 1 species
AACGAACGCUGGCGGCAGGCUUAACACAUGCAAGUCGAGCGCCCCGCAAGGGGAGCGGCAGACGGGUGAGUAACGCGUGGGAAUCUACCCAUCUCUACGGAAUAACGCAUGGAAACGUGUGCUAAUACCGUAUACGUCCUUCGGGAGAAAGAUUUAUCGGAGAUGGAUGAGCCCGCGUUGGAUUAGCUAGUUGGUGGGGUAAAGGCCUACCAAGGCGACGAUCCAUAGCUGGUCUGAGAGGAUGAUAAGCCACACUGGGACUGAGACACGGCCCAGACUCCUACGGGAGGCAGCAGUGGGGAAGAUUGGACAAUGGGCGCAAGCCUGAUCCAGCCAUGCCGCGUGAGUGAUGAAGGCCCUAGGGUUGUAAAGCUCUUUCACCGGUGAAGAUAAUGACGGUAACCGGAGAAGAAGCCCCGGCUAACUUCGUGCCAGCAGCCGCCGCAGUAA